rnacentral:rRNA from 1 species
UUGAAAAGAACUUUGAAGAGAGAGUUCAAGAGUACGUGAAACCGUUCAGGGGUAAACCUAAGAAACCCAAAAGAUCGAACGGGGAGAUUCAUCGUCAGCGACGUUGGCUUCGCGUCGGUUGGCGAUGUCGCGCGGGGCCUCGCGGCUCGCGCGCUGACACGCUGCCGUGCGUACGAUGUCCGACGUUCGUCGUCGUGCACUUCUCCCCUGGUAGAACGUCGCGACCCGCUGGGUGUCUGUCUACGGCCCGGGUGCGGUGACUGACGCGUCGCCGGUAAAACGGUACGCGUCAAACCCUCGGUCGCCCGGCCGGCUGCCCGGCGGUACACGCAAGGUAUCAGGCCGCAGAUCUCGCACUCUGCCUCUCCGGGGGGAGAGAGGAGAUUUUGCGUCGAGGCCGUCGCAAGCGCGCGCCACGGUACACGGAGGUACGGACCUAGCGCCGUCACCGGUCCUGGCCCGCUGUUGGUCGUACGGUUAACCUUCGACAGGCCUACAAACGUCUCCCACGCCCCUCACCGGGGUGCGGCGGGGGACCGAUACCGGUCGGCGACGCUACUGCUUUGGGUACUCUUAGGACCCGUCUUGAAACACGGACCAAGGAGUCUAACAUGUACGCGAGUCAUUGGGACUAGCGAGUAAACCUAAAGGCGUAAUGAAAGUGAAGGUCGUCCCUGGUUGUCGACCGAGGGAGGAUGGGCCGCGUCUCGACGCGGCUCCGCACUCCCGGGGCGUCUCGUUCUCAUCGCGAGAAGAGGCGCACCCAGAGCGUACACGUUGGGACCCGAAAGAUGGUGAACUAUGCCUGGUCAGGACGAAGUCAGGGGAAACCCUGAUGGAGGUCCGUAGCGAUUCUGACGUGCAAAUCGAUCGUCGGAACUGGGUAUAGGGGCGAAAGACUAAUCGAACCAUCUAGUAGCUGGUUCCCUCCGAAGUUUCCCUCAGGAUAGCUGGCACUCGGCCGUUCCGCACGGAACGCGCGCGAGUCUCAUCUGGUAAAGCGAAUGAUUAGAGGCCUUGGGGCCGAAACGACCUCAACCUAUUCUCAAACUUUAAAUGGGUGAGAUCUCUGGCUUUCUUGAACUAUGAAGCCACGAGCAUCUCGGAUCAGAGUGCCAAGUGGGCCAUUUUUGGUAAGCAGAACUGGCGCUGUGGGAUGAACCAAACGCAGAGUUAAGGCGCCCAACUCGACGCUCAUGGGACACCAUGAAAGGCGUUGGUUGCUUAAGACAGCAGGACGGUGGCCAUGGAAGUCGGAAUCCGCUAAGGAGUGUGUAACAACUCACCUGCCGAAGCAACUAGCCCUGAAAAUGGAUGGCGCUGAAGCGUCGAGCCUAUACUCUGCCGUCAGCGGCAAGUGGGGCGGUCGCGUGUCACGCUCGCGUGCACGCGUCGCCACGAAGCCCUGACGAGUAGGAGGGUCGCGGCGGUGUGCGCAGAAGGGUCU